CGCGAUCCGACCGGAAGUUGCACGCUGAGCCGCGGACACCAUGCAGUCGGAUGAUGUUAUCUGGGAUACACUAGGAAACAAGCAAUUUUGUUCCUUCAAAAUAAGCUUUACCCGUCCUUGAGAACAGCGGUCCAGGAGAAUCAGGCAGUCUGUGGCCUCCUGUAGCAGGGCGCUCUUAACAGACUCAGGUGUAAGGUUUGGAUCCCUUGCUACAUCACAAAUCAGUUUCAAGAGGGCCUUCAGUAAGACCACAAGUCUGCAGGAAACUCUGGAAUCAGGAAGAAAAGCUAUGUUCAUACUCUAAAUCUGGAUAUUAAAAUUGGAAGAGACUUCAAAGACUGUCAAGUGGAAAGCUAUCAUUUCCUAAAUUAAGGAACUUAGGUCAAAGUUAAAUGAAAAAGACCUAAAAACAGAACCAAAGACAGCCUCUAGAUUUCUUACCCUCAAGUCUCCUGUUAGCAUACUGCCUAUACACACAGACACACCCUCUGCCACACUGCUCUCUUCCUUCCAGAAGCUUGGUUCUACUGUAAGCAACAGCUCCUUCAUGGGCUGAGAAGGGGAAACCAGGAUCUCCCCAACCAAGGGCCUAUACUUUUAUUUUUCAACUCUAUUAACUGAACUAUGCUUGGAGAGAGCCCUGAAUCCUUUAACUUUAAUGCCAUCUUAGGCCUGGAAGUUAGAGUGAGGGAAAUGAGCUUGGCUUCUGGGACUGUGUCAAGUUGAAUUUUCUGUCAUUUAAUUUCAGAUCCUAGCUCAUCAUCAGUGAAGUCCAGCCUACUUACUUGUAACUAUUAACCUUUCUAAAAGUUUUCAUCGCCUUGGUAAAGCUCCAGAAAUGGACAAUGCUAGUGACUGCACAAUAUUGUGACUGUACUUAAUGCCACUGAACUGUACACUUUAAAAUGGAAAAUUUAUAUGUAUUUUUACCACAAUAAACAAAAAACCCUAAAAAAACUUUAAUGAAAGGUGGAAAAUAAUUUAACUUACAAUGUGAAAAUACAAUGUGAAAUGUACAAUAAAUCAUAUUUAUGGAC
rnacentral:lncRNA from 10 species